rnacentral:rRNA from 1 species
UACAGAGGUCUCAAGCGUUGUUCGGAUUCAUUGGGCGUAAAGGGUGCGUAGGUGGCGCCGUAAGUGGGGUGUGAAAUCUCGGGGCUUAACUCCGAAACUGCAUUCCAUACUGCGGUGCUCGAGGACUGGAGAGGAGACUGGAAUUCAUGGUGUAGCAGUGAAAUGCGCAGAUAUCGGGAGGAACACCAGUGGCGAAGGCGGCAUCCUGGCCCUGUCCUGACGCUCAGGGGCGAAAGCGUGGGGAGCAAACCGG